ensembl:lncRNA
UACACACACACACGCACACUCACAUACACUUCAAAUUGACCCCCUUUUUUUCUUUUCUUUCUUCUCUCUCUUUCUUUCCUUCCUUCCUUCCUUUCUUUCCUUCCUUCUGGCUUGCAGUAUCUUAGUUCUCUGACCAGGGAUCAAACCUGUGCCCUUGGCAGUGAAAGUGUGGAGUCCUGACCACUGGACCAUUAGGGAAUUCCCCCUUUUAUUUCUUUAAUUUUAAAAAGUAGAUAUAGAUGCACCCUUACAAGCUGCUUUUAGUCUAGAAAAAUGUUAAAUGCAAACUGACUUGGUUGUUAGUUGGUCCAUCCAUCCUUGAACAUUGGACAGCUGAGGGCUGCAUCCUGCGGUGCUUCAAACGGAAGUGAGCAUGCCUGUAAUGUCUGCACUCUGGGGUUUAAAAAGGAGUACAUCGAAACUGCUUAUUCUACACUCAGCUGUUCAGAAUCAGAAGGCAGGAAAGGACUGCUGAUGGCCUUAUGAAUAAUGUAUCCCUUUGUGUCCGGCAAGUAAGCAAAUGAGAAGGUACACAAAGAAUUUAAAACUUUGGAAGACUGUACCUCAAUCGAGGUUACGUAUAGUUUUCUUCUUUGUCUCAAAUAUUCUUUUACAUGUACGUACUGAUGUUCAUGUUUUAAAGAAAAGAAAAACAGCUUUCUCUUUUCCUUCCUUGAAAGGAAGCAUUUGAACUUGAAGGUUAAACUGGACAGCGCUGUGUGUGAACACCGCACGUGUUUGCUGGGGUCAGAGGUGUGGCCUGUCUGCUCUCCAUGUGAGGGCGGCCCCCAGUGACCAGCAGGGCGUCUGCAGGAAGGCUGGGUGCAGGACCUUCUGUCACCCAGACCACAUGUGCUUCUCUUAUCGCUGCUUUAACUUCAUUUCCCAAGGCUGAGGUCACUGCUUUCCAUGGGGACUGGUCAUUUCAUCUGGAAUAAUGGCUUGUUAAUGUGGAACUGGGGUUUUCUGCCACAAAAGUUAAUUUUUUGUAUGCUUUCAAAACCGCACUCUCCCUACCUAUUAGGAGGCUGGGCACAAAUGCUCUUUGUAACACAUCUUGAACGUGGGUGUGCAGAGAAUCCUGACCACUCGAUGCUGGUGCUGAUGUGCAGAGAAGCAGCAGAUCCCAACGACUGCCGAGCGUGCUCUGAAUCUGAAAAACAGUGAGAAGAUUUUCCUGCUCAAGAAAGGCAAUUUCACCUCCACUUGAAGGAACUGGAGUGCCUUACAGAGAACAUCUCAACAAGAGAACACGGAGUUCAGAGAAUUUCUGGAAUGUCGUAUCAAGGCUACAAGGAGAGACUGGAUUGGGCUGGACCUGUAACUGUAAGGAAGAGGAUGUGACUAAAAAGAUGAUGUCAUUUGCAGCUGCUUCCACUGUCUAGGGAGAUGUCCUGGGGUCAGCUCUUCCCUUGCAGGGACAGAGGGAGGGCUGUGGCUGCCUGCACUGCUUUGGAUCCCUGACAACUUCCCCUGGGUUCCCGGAGCGUGCACUGCGGCCUUAGCCAAUUUCCCCUGAGAUGGUGAGAGCAGGUGGAACCACAGGCACAUAUAUCCCUGAAGCUCACAGCUCCGCAAAGAGCCAAUGAGUGGAGCCCAGCGGUUCUCUGAAGCACACAACUUCAAUAAGCCACAUCCUCGAGGGGAAGAUAAAUUAAGGAUUCACAGAUACACAGUACUCUGUAUAACAUAGAUAAGCAUAUACACAACGGAAUAUUACUCAUCCAUAAAAAGGAACGCAUUUGAGUCAGUUCUGAUGAGGUGGAUGAACCUAGAACCUAUUAUACAGAGUGAAGUGAGUCAGAAAGAGAAAGAUAAAUAUCGUAUUCUAACGCAUAUAUAUAGAAUCUAGAAAAAUGGUACUGAAGAAUUUACUUGCAGGAUAGCAGUGGAGAAACAGACAUAGAGAAUAAACUUACGAACAUGGGGAGAGGUGAGAAGAGG